CUGGUAGAUAGACAUGAAAGGCCUUGCCUCUAGUCUCUCCAAACCUUUCCUAAUGGGCCGGUAUAGGGCAUGAGUUACUUGUGCUGCAAGAGAGUAUUCUAAAUGUUCUACCAUAGACUUGAGGUAAGUGGUGGUGAAAGCAAGUGCUUCAUCUAGUAUAUCUUCUUCCCACACCCUGAGAUGUGCAGCUUCAUACAAGCCUAGUAGGCCAUAUGCAUCAUUGAUCAAAGACUCCUUGAACCUUCCCUUUUCAUCUGUGUACCUGUUGAAUAUAUCUGUAAUCAUCACCAAAACAUAGAAUUUUAUAUGUGAGCUUUGCUAGAUGAUAUUCAAGCACCUUAUAAUACAUGAUAUUCAUGAGGCUUACCACAUGAAACAUUGAAGCCUUGUUGUCUUAGUAGUCGAAAUCGAAGUGCAACAUCAUAGAGAUCAUCAUUUAUGUCAUCAAUGCAAUGAUAGUUAUCAUAGGUAUUUUGUAAUGCUUCUUCUAUCUCCUUUUCAAAGUGGUAUGCCACCCCAAGCCGUUGAACUGCAUCAUAGAGAUCAUCAUUUAUGUCAGCUGUUUUGAAGGGUUACUAGCUGCAGCCAUCAGCUCUCUUCUAACUUCCCCUUUUAGAUCUUCCAACUGCUGCUCUUUAUGGGCCAGAGUUAUCUGUAUCAAUAAAUUGCAAGAACAAAAAGUGAGAAAAUCUUUAGGUCUUGUUAUGCAAACUACAUACAUGAUCAGAAAAUCACCUCAUCCUCAGGAGUGUGGCUCACGAUGAAGGUAUUGCCCCAAAUGCUAGGCUGAUAAUUUGCAGUUCGGCGAUUAGUCUCUGGAUUAGCAACUGGGGCUGGAGAAGACCCGUUGCUGGUAGCGAGAAUUAAGGCCAUGUGUAACUCACUCGAGCACUCAAUAUAUGAAUCAGAUGGCUUGCAAUCUUCGGUAUUUAUAGGACGGGAAAUGGUUCAUUACAAUUAUUGAAUAUCAAUCCCAGAUUCCCAGAAGCAUGGAUACUAUUAAUUCAAGGUCACCUAUCAUAUUUAAACCAAGAUUCUUAAAAAUUAAAUAUUUAAAAUAUGGUUUUUGUUCUCUUAGAAAUACGAAGUGUAUCUUAUUCCCUUAAUAAUUCUCAAUAUUCAACCAGCCGCCAAACAGUGAUUAAGACUUUCUCACGCGAAGAUCAAACUUAUGAUUGAUCUUUUAUUGUCCAAUAAUAUCCUAAUAAUAAAAUAAUUUUGAUAUGACUAGGAAACUAAGUUCUUUUAUAUAAAAACCAAAAAUUAUUUUGGUACGAAGCCAUGAGAAACUAGCAGCCAAAUUAAAGCAAUUAGGCCAUGUUUGGUAUGAAGCCAAAGCAAUUAGGCCAUGUUUGGCACGAAGCCAAAACAUGACUAUAUUUGGUACGCAAAAAUGAAGAGUGAGAAUAGAUAUUUUAUCCAUUUUCUUAUUCAUUUUCAUAUUUGAAUGAUUUAAGUGUAGUAAGAAUAAAAUCAAGAAUAAUUUCAUAAAAAAUAAAAUCCCAAUUAUAAGUGGGAUUAUGAUUUAAAAGUUAAAAAUCAAAAACUUAUUUUGGAUAAGUUGUUUUAAAAAUAAUUUUUUAUUUUGAUUUUGUAAAAAAGAAAUUAUAAAUUCAAUUUAUAUAAUAUAAAAUAAAUUUAAUUCAAGUCUUAUAAAAAAAUAAAAAUAAUUUUGUUAAUUAUAAAUAAAUUUUAAAAAUAAAUAAUUUUUAAUAAAACAUGAAUAGGAUUUUAGGGAAAAAAAAAGUUAUCAAUUUCACUUUCAUAUUCAUGCAAUUCCAAAGUUUCGACAUUGAACUAGAAAUUUCUCUAUUCUUACAUGUAAAAAGGCAAAAAAGAAAAACCCUUAAUUAGUAAAAUGAUAAGUUAGUUGAAUUAUUUAAUUAUCCUAUAAAUGCAUCUAAUUUUUUACACAAUUAGUGGACCUAAGUAAAUUGUGUCAUACUUAAACGAACUUGAACUUCCAAUUUCAACCUAAUAAAAGAUCAUAACUUAUAAUUUUAUGAAGUAUAUAAUAAACAAGAAAGAAAAGAUGAAAAGGAAAAAACUAAAAUUAAUAGCUAAUAAUAAUAAUUAAAUAGUAAUAAUAAUAAUAAUUUUCAUAAUAAUGAAUUAAAUAAUAAUAACGCUAGCAACAACAAUAACAUUAAUAAUUCUCUAUAGAGUUAAAUAUUUAAUUAACUUUAAACACACUAGUUAGUGUCCAUUAUAAAGUGAAAAGAAAAUAUUUGGUGAGUAUUGUAGUACUCCAAAACACCAUUACACAUUAACAAGGAGAUCCAGAUUUGUUGUAGGCAUAUAUUCUACAUAUGUAUUUUAAGACUCAGUAUCAAUACUCCUCAUAUUGAAUGACAAUAAUAAAUAUGUAUUAAAGAAUAUAAUAUAAUAAAGUUUAUUAUAUAUAUAUAUAUAUAUAGAUAUAUAUUAGGUGAUUUAAGUAAUACAUAUUCUUAUUUAAAUAUUCAGGUAAUAUUCCAAAGUAAAACACUAUGAACCCAGAGAAACUAGGUGCUUCAUAUAAUGUGUCCCCUUGCCGUAUUACAAUGAUUUAUUUCAUAUUUCUACUCCUUCACCUUAUUAUAGUGAUUUAUUAGAUAUUACUGCUUCCACAAGGCAAUACACGGGAUGGUAAUCAACUACUACAUUUGGUUAUAUUACAGCGUUGAUGAAGACAGACGCAAUGUUAUCCCUCAUCACUUUCCCAACAUGUGUGUACGAAUCUUGCUCUUUGUAAAUGACAUCCAUGGUUCGUGUAAGAUUGAGAAGACGAGCAAGGAGAGGCAUUGAAACAGCAGUAGGUUUGAGGCAUUCCUGGUUAAUAUCCAGCCAUGCAUUCUCAAUUUGCUUUCGAAAUUCACUGUAUACUUGUUCCUCAGAGACACCAUAUUGCUUCAUGUAACAUUCAACAGCUGAGGCCACAUGCCCUCUCUUUUGCUCAAACUGCAUGUAUAAUACAAAAGUUGAGAAAAAACCAGUGUGUUAUAUUCUCCCCAUUUGAAUCAUAUAUUCUUCAUACCUUAUGUGAUUUGAUGUCAUCCAUGAGCCUCGUAAUGAAAUUUGAAGAUGACAUAAUCUUAGGAUCGCUGGUCACCCAAUCAAAGGCCUCCUUUGUUGCUAUUUCUCCCAUUCCCACAAAGGACGUGGUUGCAAGCAGGCAGUAUCCAGAGCUUGCUAGUGCAACACGCAUGUACUCUUCAAAUGCUGGUACGUGUUCUUCAUGUAACCAUUUGGCCUCGGCAAAGUAAGCUCGAACUUGAUUCUUCAUCUAAAGAACAUUCAUCCAAGUUAUAUCUAUGUAUAUAUGAGACCAUAUAAAAUAUCAUCAAUGAAAAAGGUGGGGAUCCAGAGUAAAAGAUGUCCUACUACUUCUUUGGCAUAGUGAACCCGAUAUUGGUUUCCUUCUUUCUCCAUCUCUUCCUCGAUUUCUUUGUACACAUCUAAGAGUGCCACAUAGCAGAGUUUCAUGUAUUCUGGAAGCUGAUUUAUGCUGUUAAUAUCCCAUCUGAAAAUAAAAUAAUGACCCUUGAUUUACGUAUAUAUAAAUACAUCUAUUAUACACAAUCAAGGUUGGUAAUGUGCAAGGAGCAAACCUCUCAAUGGCUUCUAUGAAGAGCUUGAGUUCUUCAGGUGUGCCAUAUGCAUCAUGGAUAUCAUCUAGAAUGGAUGUCAUGGCAAUUACUUUGGUUAGAAUUCGUCUACCCCGUAAGUAUUGGGGCUCAAAAUACACCCCAUGCAUCCAAAAGUAGCCUUCAACCAAUCUGUCUCGUGCAAAAGGUAACUUUGUAGCAAAGUCUAAUUCUUUCCACCACCUAAAAGACAUUAAUAUGAUCAGCAUACAGGAAAGUGAUAAGAAUGGCCAAGUACAUGUGGGGUGAUCUAAACACCAACCUUGCAAGAUUGCUUAGCUCUUCCUUGUGCAGUGACUGCACUAGAUUGAAAUCUAAUUUUCCUAGCUCUAGUAAAGUUUUAUCAUGGAAAGCUUCAUCUUGGUAGACAGAUAUAUACCAUCUUGCCUCUAGCCUCUCCAAACCUUUUCUAAUGGGCCGGUUCAGGGCAUGAGCAACUUGUUCUGCAAGAUGAUAUCCUAAACUUUCUACCAUGGCCUUGAGAUGAGUGGUGGUGAAAGCAAGUGCUUUUGCAAGUAUGUCCUCUCCAUGAACCCUCAGAUGUGCAGCUUCAUACAAGCCUAGCAUGCCUCUUACAUCGCUGAUCAAAGCUUCCUUGAAUCUACCUCGUUCAUCCGUAAACUUGUUGAAUAUAUCUACACAAACAUCACCACUUGAAAAUAAGACUUAAAUGAUAAGCGAUGAACCUGUGUACCUGUGGAAUAUAUCUGUAAUCAUCACCAAAACAAUGUUAUAUGUGAGCUUUGCUAGAUGAUAUUCAAGCACCUUAUAAUUCAUGAGGCUUACCACAUGAAAUAUUGAAGCCUUGUUGUCUUAGUCGAAAUCGAAGUGCAACAUCAUAGAGAUCAUCAUUUAUGUCAUCAAUGCAAUGAUAGUUAUCAUAGGUAUUUUGUAAUGCUUCUUCUAUCUCCUUUUCAAAGUGGUAUGCCACCCCAAGCCGUUGAACUGCAUCGAUAAACUUCAGCUGUUCUAAAGGGUGACUAGCUGCAGCUAUCAGCUCUCUUAUAACUACCUCCUUUAGAUCUUCCAACUGCUGCUCUUUAUGGGCCAGAGUUAUCUGUAUCAAUAAAUUGCAAGAACAAAAAGUGAGAAAAUCUUUAGGUCUUGUUAUGCAAACUACAUACAUGAUCAGAAAAUUACCUCAUCCUCAGGUGUGUUGCUCACGAUGAAGCUAUUGCCCCAAAUGCUAGGCUGAUAAUUUGCAGUUCGGCGAUUAGUCCCUGGAUUAGCAACUGGGGCUGAAGAAGACCCAUUGCUGGUAGCGAGAAUUAAGACCAUGUGUAACUCACUCGAGCACUCAAUAUAUGAAUCAGAUAGCUUGCAAUGUUCGGUAUUUAUAGGAUGGGAAAUGGUUCAUUACAAUUAUUGAAUAUCAAUCCCAGAUUCCCAGUAGCAUGGAUACAAUUAAUUCAAGAUCACCUAUCAUAUUUAAACCACGUUUAUUAAAAAUUAAAUAUUUAAAAUAUGUUUUUUGUUCUCUUAGAAAUACGAAAAGUGUAUCUUAUUCCCUCAAUAAUUCUCAAUAUUCAACCAGCCACCAAACAGUGAUUAAGACUUUUUCACGUGAAGAUAAAACUUAUGAUUGAUAUUAUUUUUAUAAAAACACUAAAAAACUAUUUUUUGCUUUUUAACUUUUUGGCAAAUAAAUGAAGAAGAAUACAAAAAAAAAUUGAAAAAAAAGUAAAUAAAUAAAGAAGAUGAUAUUUUAAUUUUUAUUUAAUAUCUUAAUUUUUAUUAUCUAAAAUUAUUUAAUUAUUAUAAUUAAUGAUAUUUUGAGUUUAAUUAUGAUUAAAUAUAUAAUUAAAUUAACUAUAUAUAAAAGUCUUAAAUUGAGAUAAGUUGAUAAAUGAUUGAUUGUGGAUUGAAAUUUUACUCCUAAAAUAUGCAUGUGGCUUUCGGUUGUCAAGGCAUAUGUUGGGAAGCAGUUAUGCUUGGUUACGAGUUAUAUAAGCUUACGGCUUUAGAUUUGCAUGAUUAUCUUUCUUUGAAUGAGACAGUUACGAAGAAGGGGGCUUGCCAUUCCACUUUUAUUCAAACUGUUUGUCCUUAUUCUCAACAAAGGAAGCAUUUUAUUCAAAACAGAACACUCUAAAAGUUUGAAAAUCUAGCAGCCAAAUUAAAGCAAUUAGGCCAUGUUUGGUACGAAGCCAAAGUAAUUAGGCCAUGUUUGGCAUGAAGCCAAAUCACGACCAUGUUUGGUACAUAGAAAUGAAGAGUGGAAAUAGAUAUUUUAUUCAUUUUCUCAUUCAUUUUUAUAUUUGGAUGAUUUAAGUAUGAUAAGAAUAAAAUCAAAAAUAAUUUCAAAAGAAAUGAAAUCCUACUUAUAAGUGGGAUUAUAAUUCAUCUCUAGAAGGAGUUAUUUUACUUCAUUAUUACAAGUUAAAAUUAUAAAUAAAUUAUAAAAAUAAAUAUUUUUUAAUAAAAUAUGAAUAGGAAUAUCAUAAUAUAAUCAUAAAUUUUAUUUUUAAUAAAUAUUAUAAAAAUAUGGAUAUUAACAUCUUAUAAAAGCAUAAUUGAUUUAUUUUGUUAAAAAUAAAUAAUAAUAAUUUAAAAUUUAUAAUUACUUAUACUAUUUUUUUAAAUUAUUAUACUUACUACUUUGUUUUAAAAAAUUAUUUCGAGAACAAUAACUGGCAGUGGUAUUAAUUUUUAAAAACAAUUUUAUUUUUAAAAGAAAAGCCUAAAUAGGUUUUUAUUAUUUAGCAAAAAAAAAAAACCUCUCAAAUAUUUUCUUUUUUAAAUGAAAAUAAAAAAAUUAAUUUAAAUGAUGUAUUCUGUAAGAGUUUUUUUUUUUUUUUUUUGAAAUAAAAAUAAAAGAUUAAAGACACUAUAAAUUAUGAUUAAAAUAAUGAAAAUUAAUAAAAAGAUAUUGGCUUUUUUCUUAAAUACGAAAUAUUAAAAAAAAAAAGAUAAAUAAAUAAUAUAACUAUGUAUUUUUUUUUUUCUUACAAGAAUUUUCAUAGCUUUAAAAAUAGUAACCUUUUAAUUUUUUUGCUCUUAUUUAUUAUUAACCGAGUUGUAUAAAUUGCAUUAUAAUAGUUUCCUUUAAAACCAAAAUAAAAAUCAAAACAUGUGCUUCAUGACACUAUUGGAUGAAAAAGAAUCACUUAAUUUUCAUCUACUAGAUCCCAGCUGCCACCUAAUAUUAAUGACUUGUUUGGAUAUGUUGAGUUAAUUUAACCAAAGAGACUCUAGAAGGCUAAUAUUUUUCUUGCCAUCAGUCUCUUCCGUGCACAACCCUUUCAAAUCAUGGGCCCCAAAACUAAACCAAAUUCCACAUACUUUUCAACUAAAUACAACCAAUGAAUGCCAGUGCUGCCCUAUAAAUAAUAUGGAGCUUGCCAAGCUAUUUCUCUCAUACUUACCAAUUCAUCAUUCAAGGUAUAAUACUGUUCUAUCAUUGUUCCAAGGAAUUAACAUGUCUACUCAAGUCUCAGCAUCUUCUCUAAAAACAAAUGUUGUGUGCUACAUUUCUACACUGACUUUUAUGUUUUAUGAUAGCGCUUGAAGAGCAGUUCAGGUACGCACCCUAACUCUCCUUUAUUGCAAUUUGAUCGUGUUUGGCAUGCCACUUUUUAAAAUCAUCUAGCCUAUUUAGGUAUCUAUAAUUAGCUGAUUAAUUGCCACACUUCCCUUAACUUUGUCAGUAGAGACCUUUAUAGGGCUUAGAGGGGUGCUACCUUUUAAAGGUACCUUCCCAAUAGGUAACCUGAUCCUCGGAUUUAGACUCGGGUUUUUCAAAGAUACGCUUUUCUAAAAUUUAUGGAGUCAUUUCUUAGGGUUUUAUUUCUUGUUUUAUUUUCCCUUUAAAAUAAAAAUAAAAUAAGUGGUGACUCCAACUUUUUUUCCAAAAAUCAAUUUUUCACCAAUAAAAAGCAAGUCUCACCGAUCGAGUGGGGGCGCACAUGAAAAAUGCGGGUCCACAAUCGACAAUAAAUCGACGAUUUUUUGGGCAAUUUUUUGAAAUUUCUUCCUACUGCAUCCAACGGUCAGAUUUGAAUUUUUGACGAUUCGAUGGCCCAGAUUUCACCUGUGUUUUUUAUAAAGGCAUCCAAUAGUCAGAAAUUGGUUUUCAACAAGAGUUUUAAAUUGGAAAAAAGUGGAGUAAACCUGAUCCUUAGUGAGGAGCAAAUAGAACCAUACAAACCUAGAGUAAUCAUCCAUGAGCAACAGAAAAUACCGGGCACCUGUGGAAGAAGGAACAGGUGCUGGUCCCCACAAGUCUGCAUGGAUGAGUUCAAGAGGAGAGGAGGCCCGGGAAAUGGACAAAGAAAAAGGAACUUUGUGACUUUUGGCACAACAACAAGCAUUGUAAACAUCAACUGUUUUAUUUGAGUUAUGUGAAAUAUUACAUGUAUGAAAAAUUUUCUGAAGAAUUACAGCAGAAGGGUGGCCAAAUUGUUGAUGCCACAGCAUAGUAGUGGGUUGAGUUUUUGUGAGAAAUACUUGAUGUUUAAGACUGGCAGUAGGUGAACUGAUAGAUGAGGUAGGAAACUUGUAGAGUCCACGUUCAAGUUGGCCUUGGAGGAGAGUCACUUUGGUGUCCUUAUCCUUGACAAAAAAUGAAGAAGGAUGAAAUUCCAUAAUGGUAUUAUUGUCAGUACAAAAUUUUGACACACUGAUGAGAUUUGAAGUGAGUUGUGGAACAUAGAGCACAUUGUGUAAGACAAAGGGUUUGGCAGAAGUGUGGAGAAAGGAAUGACCAACUUGGGUUAUGGGUAGAGACUUACCAUUGUCAACCAUCACAGAGUCAGUACCAUUGUAGGGAGUACCAUUGUGGAUAUUAGCAGCCGUGUGGGAGAGAUGGUGGGUGGCGCUUGAAUCCAAAAACCAAGAGUCCAUUAAUGUUGGGGAAGGUGCUGCCAUCAUAGCUUGAGCAAGAGGAAUGGGACCAAUUUGAGAGGUUGAUGAGGCUGGUGCACGUGGCCCUUGAUAAUUCACAUCAAAUCUGUGAUAACAAGAGAGGACCAUGUGCCCAAACUUGCCACAUAACUGACACUGCGGUCGGUUAUUUGUCCGGGAUCGAUUAUUGUUGAAUCGGUUAGGGCGAUAUCCUUGAGGAUAUUGCUGCCGUGAAUCCAGAAGAGUGUCAGGUCGUAUGGUUGGCAUGAACGACUGAGGUGGUUUCCCUUGAGAGGGUUUUUUGGACUGUGACCUUCGUGGUCUAUUAUGAGUUGCAAAGUUGGCAAUGAGGAGGUCUUCUUCAGUAGGCGUGGUUUGAAGAGGCAGCCUCUGUUCAUGAGUCAAAAGGAUGCUAUGUACUGCAUGAAGCUGAAUGUCAUCAUCUCUAGUAGUGAGAGAAGCUAUGAUGGGGUUGUAUUCAGCCCCUAAUCCACUCAGUAAUUGAAGGAUUUGAUCCUUUUCUGGCACUGGUUCUCCAAUAGCUGCCAGACUAUCAGAGAUGUGUUUGAGUUUUUGGAUGUAUUCCAUCAUGGUGAGAGAGCCUUUUUUGUUUGUUUGAAAAGCAAGUCUCAACUGCAUUGUUCUUGCUUUGGUGGAAGCAGAAAAGCUUCGUUGGAGGGCUGUCCAUGCUUCAUGGGAUGUUUGUAGCCCAACAAUUUGACCCAUAACAUCUGGGGUGAGAGAGGAGUAGAUCCAACUCAGGAUCAUACGGUCAUAUCUCCUCCAAACCAGAAAAUCUGGGUUCACUUCACCGGUGGAUAUUGUUUUUGGAGGACAUGGUCUCAGACCUUCAAUAUGGUCCUCAAAUCCAUUGGCAUAUAUCACAUUUUCCAUUUGUGUAUGCCAAAGGAUAUGAUUAUCUCUAUCUAGUUUGAUAGGAAGAGGAUGAUUCAGCAUGCUCAUGUUCAGGGUAGGGAUUACCUGAGAAGAGACAAUCUCCAGCGUGGUCUGUGUUGAUGAAGCCAUCGGAGUAGGUACAGUAUGUUCUUGAAGUGAGUAAGCAAAGAUCAAAAGAAAGUUGCAGCAGAAAAUGUUGCUGGAGAUUUCUUAAUUGUCUUGCUGGGAGAGAAAUCAGAAAAAAAAAUUCAGGAGCCUAUGGCUCUGAUACCAUGAAAGUGCUCAGGCACGGAUUUAGCAAGAAUAAGGAGUUUAUUCUAUUCACAACAUGAUUGUACAGUAUAUCAAUAGCUAUAUAUAUAUAUAUAUAUUACAGCAUCUAACUAAUCUAACCAUCUAACUAAUCUAACCACUUUCUAACUCGGCAUAACAGCAUCUGUUAGAGAAGACUCAGCAUAACAGCAUCUGUUAGGGAGGAGAAGAAUUAGCUACUAACAUGGGUGUUUGUCUAUCAAUACUUGAAAAAGCACUUGCUUUCACCACCACUCAUCUCGAGGCCAUGGUAGAAAGUUUAGGAUAUCAUCUUGCAGAACAAGUUGCUCAUGCCCUGAACCAACCCAUUAGAAAAGGUUUGGAGAGGCUAGAGGCAAGAUGGUAUAUAUCUGUCUACCAAGAUGAAGCUUUCCAUGAUAAAACUUUACUGGAGCUAGCAAAAUUAGAUUUCAAUCUAGUGCAGCCACUGCACAAGGAAGAGCUAAGCAAUCUUGCAAGGUUGGUUUUUAGAUCAUAUUAAUGUCUUUUAGGUGGUGGAAAGAAUUAGACUUUGCUACAAAGUUACCUUUUGCAUGAGACAGAUUGGUUGAAUGCUACUUUUGGAUACUUGGGGUGUAUUGUGAGCCUCAAUACUUACGGGGUAGAUGAAUUCUAACCAAAGUAAUUGCCAUGACAUCCAUUCUAGAUGAUAUCCAUGAUGCAUAUGGAACACCUGAAGAACUCAAGCUCUUCAUAGAAGCCAUUGAGAGGUUUGCUCCUUGCACAUUACCAACCUUGAUUGUGUAUAAUAGAUGUAUUUAUAUAUACGUAAAUCAAGGGUCAUUAUUUUAUUUUCAAGUGGGAUAUUAACAACAUAGAUCAGCUUCCAGAAUACAUGAAACUCUGCUAUGCGGCACUCUUAGAUGUGUACAAAGAAAUCGAGGAAGAGAUGGAGAAAGAAGGAAACCAAUAUGGGGUUCACCAUGCCAAAGAAGUAGUAGGACAUCUUAACUCUGGAUCCCCACCUUUUUCAUUGGUGAUAUUUUAUAUGGUCUCAUAUAUACAUAGAUAUAACUUGGAUGAAUGUUCUUUAGAUGAAGAAUCAAGUUCGAGCUUAUUUUGCUGAUGCCAAAUACACAAGUACUUGGAUAUGGAGUACAAAGAUAUGGAAGCUUAUGUUAAUAUUCAAAGAGAAAAGUGGAAGACUUAUGGAUGCACAAUUAUGUGUGAUGGAUGGACUAGGCCCACAAAAUUAAGCAUAAUUAAUUUCAUGGUAUAUUCGAAAGGUAGGACAAUCUUUCUCAAAUUUGUCGAUGCAUCAAAUUAUAUAAAAGACAACAAAUACAUAUAUGGUUUGUUGAAGGAUGUGAUCAAGGAAGUUGGCAAACAAAAUGUGGUACAAAUAGUUACGAAUAAUGGUUCGGCAUUUGUGAAAGUAGGAAGCUGUUAAUGAAGAAAUAUAAUUUAUAUUGGACUCCAUGUGCAGCAUAUUGCAUUGACUUAAUGUUUGAAGACAUCAAUAAAAGGUCGAGUAUUGCAAAUGUGAUUACAAAGGCUCAAAAGAUAACCAACUUCAUCUAUAACCAUAGUUGGUUGUUUGCGUAGAUGUAGAAGGUGUGAUGGAGACAUGGUUCGCCCUAGAACAAUAAGAUUUUCAACCAAUUAUAUUGCCCUUGAGAGUCUUUUGAAAAAAAAUGUGGACUUGAAGAACGUGUUUAUCAAUGAUGAAAGAGCACAACACAAGUUAAGUCGACAAAGAGGUUGAAAAACUUAUGUUUGACCUUGCAUACUGGGAGAGAAUGGGAAAGCUAGUGUCAAUUUAUAAAGCACUAUACACGAUUCUUCACAUUGUCGAUUUAGAAGUUGUUCCUACAAUGCCAUUUAUGUAUAAAUUGAUUCGAUUUAUGAAAGAAAACCUCAUUCGGUUUAAUGUUAGAGAAUGGGUGUUAGAAAUAAUUGCAGAUUGUUGGGAUAGAACUCUUAAACAUCCUCUUCAUGCAAUAGGUAACUAAGUAUUAUCCAUCUUUAAAAGUUAUCGGUAUUUAAUAUGUUUCUUUCGUAACAUUCUAAUUCUACAUUUUUACUUUACUAUUGUAGCAUUAUUUCUUAAUCCAAGGUUUCAAUAUAAACGUGGAGUUGGUACUAAUCUUCAUCUACUUCAAAUUGUUCAUGAAAUCUUUGUGAAAUUAGAUCCUACAGUAGAAGGUCUUAGUCAAUUUGGAAAUGAGAUAAAUUAUUAGAGUUAUAAUAUAAAUUAAAUAAUUGAAUUUCAUUUACUCAAUUUUUUACUUUCAAUUAUUUAAUAUGUAGCUUAUACUAUUUCGAGAUCCAAAGAGAGGAUUCGGUGAUCGAGCAGCGAUUCCUUCGAGGUCAGAAAUGGUUUUCAAUGAGUAUUAUUUGUGAAUUAAAAUACAUUUCAUUAGCAUAUUAUUGUAGAUUUCCAAUAUAAAUAUUGAUAUCAUUUAUUUGGUUGUAGUUGAAUAAUGGUUCAUGUAUGGAAACUAGACUCCUACAUUAAGAAGGUUGGCCAUCAAGGUUUUAUCACAAACUGUGUCAUUUUCAGCUUAUGAGAGAAGUUGAAGCAUGUUUGCUUUAAUUCAUACAAAGCAAAGAAAUUGGCUUUCUUACCCAAGGCUCUAACAAUUAGUUUUAUGUUAUUAUAACAUGAAACUAAAGAUCCGUGAUAUGGAGGUAGAGAAUGACAAAGUUGUGGAGAAAGAUUACAUCGAUUUACUUGACAUUUCAACCGAGGUAGGUCAAGAAAAAGAUAACCAAUUAUUUCAAUGAGUUAGACCUCUUCGUUUAGAUGAUGAAGAUGGAAAUCCAGACUCACGAAUUGUCACACAUGUUCGAGAAACAGGUGUUGAUGUUGAAUGAGUGUUAUCUAAAGAAGUUCAUACUAAUAGUUUCAACCAAGACACGAGAGAUUCAUUUCAACAAGGAACUUCUUAGCUGACAAUCACUUAUUGACCUUCUUUUGACUCCACGAGUGUUGAACAUAGUAGCAGACCUAAUGUUGUUGGUACUUUUGCUUUCAGUUAUGAUGGUUCAAGAUGAGAGGGGACCAAUGAUGGUAGCGACCUUGGAAAUGAUGGAGGGGAUGUUAGACAACAACAACAAAGUGGACAACCAUUGACAUUUACUUGUGAAGAUGAUUUCACACAUUAUACUCAAGAUGAAGACCACAACUCUAGAAGAGUUGGUCCGGGUGUUGGAGCCAUUGGAAAGCCAUAUAGAGGAAGAUAACGAAGGAUGACACCAUACAAUGAGGACUCAUUGUCGGCCAAUUUUAAGUUAAUGAGUAUAGAGACUCAAUUCAGUGACUCGUCAAAUGAAGCCAACAUUUAUGCCCUUUUUGUAAUGAGUUAUGGUCAGCCUCUUCCAAAUCUUUCAAGUUCCAUUAAUAAAGAGUACGAAAGGUAUAACUAUCCUAUUUCCACACAAAUGUCGUACUACUUUCCAUAUCAGAUGCAACAAUAAGGAUUUCAAACGAACACAUGGGAAAACCCUAGAUUUCCCAUCCAUAGAGAGGUUGUGGGUAGGACUCAAGAAAUUUAUGCAUGGCAUGUUCGUACUUACAAUCAAUACUAUCAAAACUCCAUGUCCUAGUAUGAAUAUUGUCUUCAACAAGAUAGGCACCCUUCAUCUAACAAUAUGAUGGAACCACAUUGAUAUUCAUUUUGGUAUUAAGGAUUAUUGCAAUGUCAUAUGUAUUAUGUUUAUGUAUAAAUUGUUUUCAUUUAAUAAAAUCACAUAUUUCUUAACUCAAUUCUAACUUUCUAAGUGUACAAUUCCAAAAUUCAUAUUUUCUAUUCUUAAUAUCCAAGUAUCGAAUCUACUGAUAUAUCUCUGUUUAUCGAUAUUUUUCUCCUUAACCAUAUUCAUGCCAAUUACACUUACAAAAUAACUUUAACAUGUGUAUUCUUGCUUAUUUUACAUUUUUUGGAGUUUUCCAAACAUUCCCAUCAAUUUUGAAUAAUUUUCGUCUUACUGAUAUUUGUGUAAAAAUAUUCACUGAUAUUUCUCUAGUAUUUCUUAUAUAUCUAUAAAAUCUAUCCUGGUACAUCUUCCUCAUUAUCUAAUUAUUUUUAACUAAUUUUUUCUUAAUGUAAAGAUUUAAUUAAUUCUAAUUAAACUUUCUACAAAAUAUCUACUACUAAUUAUCAUCAAACUAAUUAAUUUUAGUUAAUUUUAAUUAAUAUACUAAUCACAAUUAACCUCAAAAUAUCAUUAAUUAGAAUAAUUAAAUCAUUUUAGAUAAUUAAAAUCAAGAUAUUAAAUAAAAAAUAAAAUAUCAUCUUCUUCUUUUUUUAAUCUUCUUCAUCUAUUUCCCAAAUUAAAACCUAAAUUUCCAAAUCAAAUCCUAAAUGGAAAAAAUUCUAAAUACUAAAAUUUCUUUCAAAUCUUUAUGCAGUUCCCAAAUGAAACCUUAAAUGGACAAAAAGAAAAUCUAAUUUUAAAUCUCUAUGCUCCUCCUAAAUCAUGCAAACCUUAAAUAGGAGAAAAAAAAAAUCUACACCCUAAUUCUAAUCCUAAAUUUCCUUUUUAAUUUUUGUGUACUUCUCAAAUCAAAGAAAAAUAUUAUGAAGCCUAAAUAAAUAAAGUGCACUGCUUAUGUGAGAAGAAAGCAAGGUGCUCCAAAUUUAAGUGAGAAAAAAAAACAAGUACGGCCUUGGGAAGAUAGGAAAGGUAUGCUAAGAAUUCUAAAGAAGAUAGAGGGCAUGUUGCCUCAUCCAUUGAAUGCUAUGUGAAGUAAUAUAGUGUCUUAGAACAACAGGCUUAUGAUGAGUUUAACAAGCAAAUUGCGAAUCCAUGGAAGGAUAUUGCAUCCUUAUUCAUUGACUAUGUGCCGGUAUGAGCAAAUAAAUGAAAGUUAAUUCCAGCUUCUUCCAUAUUGUCCCCAAUAGAAAGGGAAUAAUAUGUAUUAACGUCAUUGUAAUAAGAUUGGAAUAAGAACAUGUUUGGCAUUUGAAAAUAAGGAAUGGGAAUGAAAUUUUUUUUUCCAUUCCUAUUUCUUCUUAAAUAAGAAUAAAUUUGAUAAUUUCAAUUAUUGUAUUUGGAUACAGAAAGCAAUGUAAGGUUUGUAAAGUUUGAAUUAUUAUUUGUUUUUAUUUCAAUGUUAAAGUAAAAACGGGAAUGAUAACAAAAUAAAUAAAUAAAUAAAUUGGCAAUAAUAUUCAUACAUAUAAUUUAAAAUAAUCUUUUAUUUUUAAUUCAAAAAAAAAAAAUCUCUUACACAAUACAUCAUUUUUAUAGUUUUUUUUAUUUUCAUUUAAAAAAGGAAAAUGUUAAAUUUUUCAAAAGUUUCAUGGAAUUUAAGGCCGAUGGAUAUGAAUUUAUUAUCCUUGUCUAUGAUAAGAAAAAUUAUAAUUGAUGUAGAGAGUAAUCUUGGAGCAUAUAGAUUUUUCCUGAAAGGUUCACAAUGUGCUAAUCAUAUUAAUGUAUUUUUGGUGGUUGAAAGAAUUGGACUUGGGAAGGUUAAUUGUGGAUGGUUGGGAUGCACUUUGAGUCUCAUACAUACAUGGAUCUAACUUGGAUGAAUGUUCUUCACUUGAACUUUUCAGAAAUCUGAUGUUCAAAGCUUGCCCAAUCAUCCCAAGCUUCCUAUACUUUUCAAAAAAAAGGUAGAAUAAUUUUUUUCUUCUUUUACUUAGCUUAGUUUGAAUUUAAUUUUUCAAUUAUGAAUAAUUAGAAAUAUAUGCACACAUCUUUGGACAUGUCAUAUGACACUUGAGAGAAUUACCCAAACUCUCAUGAACUUAGGUUGGAAGAAUGACUACUUAAUAGUGAGAACCUUCAAUUUUCCAAGGAUUUUUUAUAAAUGUAUGGAAUUUUUAAAAAUUAUUUUCUAAAAUACUAUAAAUCAGAAAAUAAUUCCAAUUUUACGAUACUUUAGACACAUAGGAGAAAUGUGGAAAAAAUAUAUAUUAUAUUUUAACUUUUUUGACUCAACCUAUUUUUAUAUAUCUUGAAUUUGAUUUUAUGUUAAAGGUGUUUCUUCAAGAAAUAUUUUUCACAAAUUUUAAAUUUGCGAUAUAUACUUAAAAAAUUGAAUUUAAACUAAAAAUGUUUUUUCAAAAGACAUUCUCUAUAAUUUUAGAAAAUUGGAUUUAUAGUAAAAGGUGUCUUUUGAAAACACUAUUUACACAAUUUCACAAAAUCUAAUAUAUACUAAAGGUGUCUCUUGAAAAGACAAUUUUCACAAUUUUAAAAAAAUCAAUACAUACUAACGGUGUCUCUUGAAGAGACACCUUCCACAAUUUCAGAAAUUUUAAUUUAUACUACAAGUGUCUCUUGAAUUUGAUUUUAUAUAGAAGACAUCUUUCACAAUUCCAAAAAAAAAAAAAAUCCAAUAUAUACUAAAGGUGUCUCUACACCUUUCACAAUUUUACAAAUUUUAAUUUAUAUUACAAGUGUCCCUUAAUUUUGAUUUUAUAUUGAAGGCAAACACUUUCUAAAAUUCAAAAAAAAAAAAAAAAUUGGAUUUAUAUUAAAGAUGUCUCUUAAAGAGGCACCUUCUACGAUUUCACAAAAUCCAAUAUAUAUUAAAGGUAUUUCUUCAAAAUGCAUCUUUUAUAUAAAAUUAAAUUUAUUAAAUUUAAGAAACGCUUAUAGUAUAAAUUAAAAUUUUUGAAAUUGUUGAAGGUAAAAAUUAAAAAUAAAAAUAAAAUUCAAGACACCUUUAGUAUAUAUUGGAAUUUGUAGAAUUGUGGAAAAUGUUUUUUUUAAGAGAUACAUUUAGUAUAAAUCCAAUUUUUUUUUAGAAUUAUAGAAAGUGUCUUUUUUAAUAUAAAAUCAAAUCCAAGAAACACUUGUAAUAUAGAUUAAAACUUGUUGUGAAAAGUGUUUCUUGAAGAGAUACCUUUAGUAUAAAUCUAUUUUUUUUUCAAUAUAAAAUAAAAUUCAAGAGACAUUUGUAAUAUAAAUUAAAAUUUGUUAACUUGUGGAAGGUAUCUCUUGAAGGGACACCUUUAGCAUAUAUCAGAUUUUGUAAAAUUAUGAAAAAGUCUUUUCAAGAGAUACUUUCAUUAUAAAUCCAAUUUUUUUGUAAAAUUGUGAAAAAGUCUUUUCAAGAGAUACUUUCAUUAUAAAUCCAAUUUUUUUGAAUUGUAGGUGUCUCUUAAAGAAACACUUUUAAUUUAAAUUCAAUUCUUCUAAGUGAAUAUAAAAUAUUUGAAAAUUAUAGAAAGUCUCUUCAAAAAAACUUUUUACAUACUACGUAAAUCUAUCAAUAUUUUUUCAACUAUCAUUUUUAAAGAAUUAUUUUUUAAAUUUACAGGAUGAGUUAAAAAAACCCCAAUUUUCCAAACAAUAACUUCAUCCCUGCGGUAACCUCAACCAAGUUUCUACGAGCCUAUAACUAAUAUUGAAUUUGGGGGGACUAUUAAUACCUUCAUGGAAUAGCAAGUCUUCGUCAAUGAUCACAUUAUACACGCAUUAGCUAGAAGAAAUAAUGUAUUUCGUACGUGAGCUUUUAAUUUCUUUUCAUCAUCAAAGGUCCUUUCCUUUGAAAGUAUUCAUGGUCCAUAUCAUUAUCUUUCAUGCCAGUGUUAGGCCAAUUUAUGAAUUUGGACCCCUUAUUUCACCAUAUAUAGCUAUUGUGAACAUGAUGGACCAUCUAACUUCAAUAAUUUAGCUUCAAUCAAAUUUUUAGAAUAAUCACCUCAAAUCAAGUUAGACAUGUUAUUACUAAGAUUUGGUAUAUCCUCUAAUUCUCUUAAAUAUUAAAGUCAUUAAAUCAGUAAAUAAGUGAGUUUCUUUCUAUUAUAAGUUUGACUUAAAAGAUAUUUAAUAAAUCUAUAUAAUGAUUUAAUAUAACUUAAUUACUUAUUUUAAAUAAUACGAGCAAUUUACAAUAAUAAAUGAAAAUAAAUAAUUUUUCUAAACCAUAAAUAUCAUUUGAUUUAGUUACUUAUGUUUUUUCUCUUCUUCUCUUUCAACAUUUUAUUUGCUGAUAUUAUUUAAAGUAAAAUAAGUCGAACAAUUUAAGGGUAGAAAUUUUAUUGGGGUUCGAUGUUCUAGGAACCAUAUACUUGAAAAGUCUAAAAUACACUUCGAUGCAUGGAUAUAACUUGGAUGAAUGUUCUUCACUUGAAGAAUCAAGUCAAGCUUACUUUGCUGAGGCAAAAUGAUUUCAUGGAUUAUUCUUAUUAUUAUUACUAGUACUACUCCUUUGUGUUAGACAUCCUUAAUGUUAUAUCACCGAGGGUAUGAAUAUUUUUUUUUUUUUUUCCCUCUUCUUUCUUAGUGCUGUUUUAUUAUAUGCUUCAGAAAAUUUCAGGUUCGAUGUCGAAACUUUGUCUAAAAACAUUGUUGAAAUCAACUAUGGUCUAUGACAAAUAGUGAAUAUAACAUACAACAAAGUACGUACUUUAGAAUUGCAGGAACAUACAAUAACCUACAAUAUCACUGUAUUAGACUGAUAUACUUCUUGAUUUUUUUUUCUAAAAAACUACGUUUGAUUUUUUGCAAUAAAUUUGUUUGACAGCUCCAUUCAGUUGUCAUGUGAUAUAUGAGGGACCAACUAAAGUAAUCCGUGAACCGACAAGAGUUGUGGAAACGUCAGCUCAAUAGGAUGAGAUGAUGCGGAUGAGUCAACACACAACAGUGGAUUAAUUCUGAGAAGUUAAAUAAUCAGCUAGCUUGGAAAUUGGCUUUAAGAGAAAAGCCAUGGAUGGAAUCUUAGAAGAUCUCAAGGAAUAUUAGGGGAUGCCUUCGUCUACAAUAUCAGAGAAUGAAGAGGAAUAUGGCUUUUCAGAAAUCUGAUGUUCAAAGCUUCCCCGAUCAUCCCAAGCUUCCAAUACUUAUCCAAAAAAGGUAGAAUAAUUUUUUUCUUCUUUUACUUAGCUUAGUUUGAAUUUAAUUUUUCAAUUAUGAAUAAUUAGAAAUAUAUGCACACAUCUUUGGACAUGUCAUAUGACACUUGAGAGGCUUACCCAAACUCUCAUGAACUUAGGUGGGAAGAAUGACUACUCAAUAGCAAGAACCUUCAAUUUUCCAAGGAUUUUCUAUAAAUGUAUGGAAUUUUUAAAAAUUAUUUUCUAAAAUACUGUAAAUCAGAAAAUAAUUCCAAUUUUAUGACACUUUUGGACACAUAGGAUAAAGGUGGAAAAAAAAAUUAUAUUUUAACUUUUUUGACUCAACCUAUUUCUAUACCUCUUGAAUUUGAUUUUAUAUUGAAGAUGUUUUUUCGAGAGACAUCUUAAAUCUUAGGUAUACAUGUAAAAGAAUUGAAUUUAAAAUAAAAGUGUCUUGAAAUUUGAAUUUAUAGUAAAAGGUGUUUUUUAAAAAGACAAUUUUCACGAUUUCACAAAAUCCAAUAUAUACUAAAAGUGUCUCUUAAAAAUACAAUUUCACAAAAUUCAAUACAUACUAAAGGUGUGUCUCUUCAAUAAAUUUUAUACUACAAGUGUCUUCUGGAUUUGAUUUUAUAUAGAAAAUAUCUUUCACAAUUCUAAAAAAAAAAUCCAAUAUAUACUAAAGGUGUCUUUACACCUUCCACAGUUUCACAAAUUUUAAUUUAUACUACAAGUAUCUCUUAAUUUUGAUUUUAUAUUGAAGGUAAACACUUUCUACAAUUCGAAAAAAAAAAAAAAGGAUUUUUAUUAAAGGUGUCUCUUAAAGAGGCACCUUCUACAAUUUCGCAAAAUUCAAUAUAUACUAAAGGUAUUUCUUCAAAAAAUGUCUUCUAUAUAAAAUCAAAUUUAAGAAACACUUGUAGUAUAAAUUAAAAUUUGUGAAAUUGUUGAAGGAGAAAAUUAAAAAUAAAAUUAAAAUUCAAGACACCUUUAAUAUAUAUUAAAAUUUGUGGAAGUGUGGAAAAUGUUUUUUUAAAGGAUACCUUUAUUAUAAAUCCAUUUAAAAAAAAAUUGUAGAAUGUGUCUCUUUUAAUAUAAAAUCAAAUCCAAGAGACAUUUGUACUAUAAAUUAAAACUUGUGAAAUUGUGAAAAGUGUUUUUUGAAGAAACACCUUUAAUAUAUAUUGAAUUUUAUCACCUUUAGUAUAAAUCCAAAAAAAAAAUUAAUAUAAAAUCAAAUUCAAGAGACAUUUAUGAUAUAAAUUAAAAUUUGUGAAAUUGUGUAAGGUAUGUCUUGAAGGGACACCUUUAGCAUAUAUUGGAUUUUGUUGAAUUAUGGAAAGCGUAUUUUCAAGAGAUAUUUUCAGUAUAAAUCCAAUUUUUUGGAAUUAUAGAAGGUGUUUCUUAAAGAAACACCUUUAAUUUAAAUUCAAUUCUUCUAAGUGAAUAUCAAAUAUUUGAAAAUUGUAAAAAGUGUCUCUUCAAAAACACCCCGAAGACAUGGUAAUUCAAUGAAAAUAUGUUUAUAUACUUAUUUGGAAGUUAUUUUUCUUAAUUUGUUGGUCUAGGUUACAAGUGCCUACAAAGAGGAGCAGAUUGAGGAUCUGAAAAAUGAAUUGAAAAUGGAAUUAUACAUAGUGUUGACUAUAAGAAUUUUAGUGGAUUCAAAUGUCUUAGUCAACUAAACUAUUCUAAUUUUAGUAAAUGGUAUGCACAAAAUGACAAUUCAUUUUGAUGAUUCCAAUCUAUUUUAAAUACCAAAGAAAGUUUUGAUUUUUUUUUAUUUACAAAAAAUGCUUCAAAGUACUUUUCAUAAAAUAAAAAAAAAAGAAUUAUUUUCACAAAUUUUAUUUACCAACAUUCCAAUUUGAUUUUCAUGCAGAAAGAAACUAUUUUUAUAAUUUUUAUUAAAAUAUGAUUUUUUUUUUCAAUUUUUUUUUUAAAGUAUCUAAAUCUAAUCUUAUGUCCAAGAGAAUACUUUUACAAAUUCUUUAAGAAAAGGAUUUUUAAAAUUUUAUUUUUUUCUAAAAAAAAUUACAAAUUUAUUUAGAAAAGAAUAAAUAUUGGGAUCCAAUUUUAAUUACACAAAAAAUUAUUUUUUUUUAUUGAAAAUAAGAUUUUUACAUUUUUAUUUACAUAAGUAUGAAAAUCCAUUUCCAUUUUAUUUACUAAAAUGCAUUAUUUUUUUUUUACUAUUUUUAAUAAGACAUGAUUUUUACAAUUUUUUUUAAAGUUUACGAUUUUAUUAAAAAAAAGGUUUUGCAAUUUUUUUUUAACAAAUUUUUUAAUGUUUUAUUAAAACAAAAUGAUUUCUAGAUUUUAUUUUUAAAAAAUGAUUUUCAAAAGUUAUAAAUAAAUAAAUAAAUAAAUAUCGAUUUUCCAACUGUAUUUACAAUUGAUUUAAAAACGGAUUUUACAGUUUUUUUAAAAAACACAUUUUAUUGUUUUAGCUCAUUAAUUUUAAUGUUAAGGUAUCAGCCCAAUUGACUUGAUUUAUAUUAACUUAAAACUUUUGUUCUAAUAGGUACCUUGAUACAACGGCAAAGCCUCGAUUUAUACAGGAGGUCUUGAAGGUGAACUGUGAACCUUACUUAUGUGUACUCAAUUCUGGAAGGUUGUCAACGUUGCCGAUUUUGAACUUCAAUAUUCAGCUCAACAUAGUUUUAGGAUGUCACAUUAGGCAGUCUGGAAGUUUCAUUCAUCUAGUUCAGAUGUGUAAGUUCUGACAUUCAGCUUGGCAAAUUUUGGAAUGAUAAUUGGAUCUAGGAUGGCAUGGCACUCUGUUUGAGCAGGAAGAGUUUUGGAGUUUGGGGUUGGUGGACAAGAUGUGUCCCUGAAAAGAGAUUGAUGCCUACCAUUGAGCUUCUCAAUCACUUGGUUUAGAAAUUAUAGUUUUAGGUCACAGGAAAAUGAAAAAAAAUGUGCAAUGCACCACAAAAACAAUUACAUCAUUACCUAGCUCUCAUAUUCCCAAUGAAUUGACCUAGCCAUAGUCGUGGUCCCCCAAUCCAACUGCCCUUAUCAUAACCUGUCAAACCAUAAUAUUUAAAUAUGGGACAUUUUAUGCAUUCAUCAUGUGAAGAUCAAAUAAAACAACAGAGAUCGAUACAACAAAUUCACGUUACAUAAUAAAAAGCAAUAUCAAACGAGGCAAACAAACCUUAAUAGACCAAAGCCACCAAGCAGCAAUUGAAAAAACCACGAAGGGUUUAUCCCCAUACAUAUACUUUGGAAAAUGAAACAGAAGCUAGAAUAUACCAUCUUUAUUUGUGUAACAUAUCUCCACUCUCAUAUUGGCACAGGGUCUAUGAGCAGCAUUGAAAUAUUAUUUUUCAUCACUUCUCCAAGAUGUGUAAAUUCAUCUUUCUGCCCCUUGUACAUCACAUCUGCUGCUCGAGCAAAAUUGAGAAGACGACUAAGGAGAAGCAUUGGAACUGCAGUAGGUUUGAGGCACUCUUCAUUUAUAUCCUUCCAUGCAUUCUCGAGUUGCUUGUGAAACUCCUCAUAUGCUUGUUGCUCGGAGACACCAUGUUGCUUCAUGUAACAUUCGAUACUUGAUGCAAUAUGCCCUCUCUCUUGCUCAAACUGCAUACAUAGUAAUAUAAGAUGUUAAAAAGAAAUUGGUAUAUAUAUAUAAUAGAUUUUCUUUAAGAUCCCUUUCUCUUUAUGUGAUUGAUAUUCAAGUAUCAGUAGGAAGUGUUGUUUCAUUGUACCUUGUGCGUAGCCAUGUCAUCCAUGAGCCUAAUGACUUUGGAGGAAGCUCUAACAAUCUUAGGGUUUUGUUGCAGCCAAUCAAAGACUUCCUUGGUUGCAAUCUCUCCCAUGCCAAUAAAAGAGAUGAAUGUUAACACGGGGGCACCAAUACUAACCAAUGCAACACGCAUGUACUCUUCUAUUGUUGGUAUGUAUUUUCCAUGGAACCAUUUGGCUUCAACCAAGUAAGCUUGGACCAAGUUUUUCAUCUAGGAUAAAAAUUCAGCCAAGUAAAUAUAUCAUGCAAGUGUUAUAUAUGGCAUUUUAUUUACAAUACUAUAUAGGAUAUCAUAAACACAAUGGAGUUCAGAGAAUCCUACUGCAUCUUUUGCUUGGUGCACAGAGUGUGAUCUUUCUGUGUUUUCCAUGUCCUCGAUUUCUUUGUAGGCAUCUAAGACUGCCUGAUAGCAUGGCUUCAUGUAUUCAGGAAGCUGAUGUGUGCUGUCAAUAUCCCACCUAAAAAUCAAGUACCAAGUUCCCUUUUAAAGUUCAAGUAUGAAAUCAAUGAAUUAGUUGUGGGUAAUUUUAAUCUUGCAUAGAUCAAACCUCCCAAUUGCCUCCGUAAAGAACUCCAGUUCUUCAAGUGUUCCAUAUGCAUCAAAUAUGUCAUCCGUAGUUGUCAUCAGAGCAUGUAAUUUGGUCUGUAUUCUUCUAGCAUAUGAAUACUGGGGCUCAAAACAAGCUAUUGCUAUCCAAAAGUACCCUUCCACCAAUCUAUCUCUUACAAAAGGUAGCUUUGAAGAAAAAUCUAGGUCUUUCCACCACCUGAGAAAAUACAUUAAUUCACAUACCGUAAACAGCUUUAACAUAAGUUCAUACAUGAUUUGAAAACUAACCCCAGGAUAUUGCUUAGCUCUUUUUUAUACAGUGACUGCAGUUGGUUGAAGUCUAACUUUGCAAGCUUCAGUAAAGCUUUACUAUGUGACGCUUCAUCCUGGUAGAUAGACAUGAAAGGCCUUGCCUCUAGCCUCUCCAAGCCUUUCCUCAAGGGCCUGUAUAGGGCAUGAGUUACUUGUGCUGCAAGAGGGUAUUCUAAAUGUUCUACCAUAGACUUGAGGUGAGUGGUGGUGAAAGCAAGUGCUUCAUCUAGUAUGUCUUCUUCCCACACCCUGAGAUGUGCAGCUUCAUACAAGCCUAGUAGGCCAUAUGCAUCAUUGAUCAAAGACUCCUUGAACCUUCCC
rnacentral:lncRNA from 1 species